rnacentral:rRNA from 1 species
CCUACGGGUGGCUGCAGUGGGGAAUAUUGGACAAUGGGGGGAACCCUGAUCCAGCCAUGCCGCGUGUGUGAAGAAGGCCCUCGGGUUGUAAAGCACUUUCAGUGAGGAAGAACGCCUGGUGGUUAAUACCCAUCAGGAAAGAUAUCACUCACAGAAGAAGCACCGGCUAACUCCGUGCCAGCAGCCGCGGUAAUACGGAGGGUGCGAGCGUUAAUCGGAAUUACUGGGCGUAAAGCGCGCGUAGGUGGCUUGAUAAGCCGGUUGUGAAAGCCCCGGGCUCAACCUGGGAACGGCAUCCGGAACUGUCAAGCUAGAGUGCAGGAGAGGAAGGUAGAAUUCCCGGUGUAGCGGUGAAAUGCGUAGAGAUCGGGAGGAAUACCAGUGGCGAAGGCGGCCUUCUGGACUGACACUGACACUGAGGUGCGAAAGCGUGGGUAGCAAACAGGAUUAGAUACCCGAGUAGUC